rnacentral:rRNA from 1 species
AGUUGACUCCAAUUGAACGCACGCUUCACCCCUUGUGGUGCUCCCCCGCCAAUCCUUUAGUUCAUACUUGCGUACGUACUUCCCAGGCGGCAGACUUAACGGCUUCCCUGCGGCACUGCAUUGGCCACAAGCCAAUGCAUCACCGAGUCUGCAUCGUUUACAGCUGGGACUACCCGGGUAUCUAAUCCGGGNUUUGCUCCCCCCAGNCUUUCAUCCCUCACCGUCGAACGUGUUCUGGUACACCGCCUUCGCCACAGGUGGUCUUCAAUAGAUCAAAGGAUUUUACCCCUUCCUAUCGAGUACCGUGUACCUCUCCCACCCCCUAGCUGCACAGUAUUUUCGGCGGCCUAUACGUUAAGCGCAUAGAUUUAACCGAAAACUUAUGCAACCGGCUACGGAUGCUUUAGGCCCAAUAAACCUCCUGACCACUCGAGGUGCUGGUUUUACCGCGGCGGCUGACACCAGAACUUGCCCACCCCUUAUUCACCAGUGAUUCUACAACUGACAAAAGACUCCUUUAGCAGGAGACACUCGGAUUAACCUUGUCGUGCUUUCGCACUUUGCA